rnacentral:misc_RNA from 1 species
UCCGGUUUGUCACCGGCAGUCUGGCGUGAGUCCCCAACUUAAUGCUGGCAACACGCCACGGGGGUUGCGCUCGUUGCGGGACUUAACCCAACAUCUCACGACACGAGCUGACGACAGCCAUGCAGCAUCUGUGGUGCACCCUCGAAGGUCACACGUUUCCGUGCGCUUGCAGCACCAUGUCAAGCCCAGGUAAGGUGGGGAUGACGUGUAGGAGCUCGAC